rnacentral:rRNA from 1 species
UACGGAGGGGGCUAGCGUUGUUCGGAAUUACUGGGCGUAAAGCGCACGUAGGCGGCUUUGCAAGUUAGAGGUGAAAUCCUGGAGCUCAACUCCAGAACUGCCUUUGAUACUGAGGAUCUUGAGUUCGGGAGAGGUGAGUGGAACUGCGAGUGUAGAGGUGAAAUUCGUAGAUAUUCGCAAGAACACCAGUGGCGAAGGCGGCUCACUGGCCCGAUACUGACGCUGAGGCACGAAAGCGUGGGGAGCAAACAGG